rnacentral:rRNA from 1 species
CACGUAGGGUGCGAGCGUUGUCCGGAAUUAUUGGGCGUAAAGAGCUCGUAGGCGGUGUGUCACGUCGGCCGUGAAAACCUGCAGCUUAACUGUGGCGUGCGGUCGAUACGGGCAUCACUGGAGUUCGGCAGGGGAGACUGGAAUUCCUGGUGUAGCGGUGAAAUGCGCAGAUAUCAGGAGGAACACCGGUGGCGAAGGCGGGUCUCUGGGCCGAUACUGACGCUGAGGAGCGAAAGCGUGGGGAGCAAACAGG